rnacentral:rRNA from 1 species
CCCUAUGGGGUGCAGCAGGCGAGAAAACUUUGCAAUGUGCGAAAGCACGACAAGGUUAAUCCGAGUGGUUUCUGCUAAAGGAACCUUUUGUCAGUCCUAGAAACACUGACGAAUAAGGGGUGGGCAAGUUCUGGUGUCAGCCGCCGCGGUAAAACCAGCACCUCAAGUGGUCAGGAUGAUUAUUGGGCCUAAAGCAUCCGUAGCCGGCUCUGUAAGUUUUCGGUUAAAUCUGUACGCUCAACGUACAGGCUGCCGGGAAUACUGCAGAGCUAGGGAGUGGGAGAGGUAGACGGUACUCGGUAGGAAGGGGUAAAAUCCUUUGAUCUAUUGAUGACCACCUGUGGCGAAGGCGGUCUACCAGAACACGUCCGACGGUGAGGGAUGAAAGCUGGGGGAGCAAACCGGAUUAGAUACCCGGGUAGCCCCAGCUGUAAACUAUGCAAACUCAGUGAUGCAUUGGCUUGUGGCCAAUGCAGUGCUGCAGGGAAGCCGUUAAGUUUGCCGCCUGGGAAGUACGUACGCAAGUAUGAAACUUAAAGGAAUUGGCGGGGGAGCACCACAAGGGGUGAAGCCUGCGGUUCAAUUGGAGUCAACGCCAGAAAUCUUACCCGGAGAGACAGCAGAAUGAAGGUCAAGCUGAAGACUUUACCAGACAAGCUGAGAGGUAGUGCAUGGCC